AGGAUCAAGCGUCUGAAGGGCAUCUGGUGGAUGCCUUGGCACUGAGAGGCGAUGAAGGACGCAGCACGUUGCGAUAAGCCAUGGGGAGCCGCGAGCAGGCUUUGAUCCGUGGAUUUCCGAAUGGGGCAACCCACCGCGCAAGCGGUAUCCCACGCUGAAUCCAUAGGCGUGGGAGGCGAACCCGGCGAACUGAAACAUCUAAGUAGCCGGAGGAAAGGACAUCAACCGAGACUCCGCUAGUAGUGGCGAGCGAACGCGGACCAGGCCAGUCAUUCAGUCUACACAACCGGAACCGUCUGGAAAGGCGGGCCAGAGCGGGUGAUAGCCCCGUACGGGUAAACCGGACUGAAUGCUCGAGUAGGGCGGGGCACGUGAAACCCUGUCCGAACAUGGGGGGACCACCCUCCAAGCCUAAGUACUCCUCAGUGACCGAUAGUGCACCAGUACCGUGAGGGAAAGGUGAAAAGCACCCCGACGAGGGGAGUGAAACAGUUCCUGAAACCGGAUGCCUACAAGCAGUCGGAGCGGCCUUGCGCCGUGACGGCGUACCUUUUGUAUAAUGGGUCAGCGACUUACAGUAAGCAGCGAGCUUAAGGCGAUAGCCGGAGGCGCAGCGAAAGCGAGUCUGAACAGGGCGCUUGAGUUGCUUGCUGUAGACCCGAAACCCGGUGAUCUAGCCAUGGGCAGGUUGAAGGUGCGGUAACACGCACUGGAGGACCGAACUCACGCCUGUUGAAAAAGUCGGAGAUGACCUGUGGCUAGGGGUGAAAGGCCAAUCAAACCGGGAAAUAGCUGGUUCUCCGCGAAAGCUAUUUAGGUAGCGCGUCGGGCGAUUGCCCACGGGGGUAGAGCACUGGAUGGGCUAGGGGGCCUCGCGGCUUACCAAACCUAACCAAACUCCGAAUACCGUGGAGCACAGCCCGGCAGACAGACGGUGGGUGCUAAGGUCCAUCGUCGAGAGGGAAACAGCCCAGACCGCCAGCUAAGGUCCCCAAAUCACGGCUAAGUGGGAAAGGAUGUGGGAAGGCCAUGACAACCAGGAGGUUGGCUUAGAAGCAGCCAUCCUUUAAAGAAAGCGUAAUAGCUCACUGGUCUAGUUAAGCCGGCCUGCGCCGAAAAUGUAUCGGGGCUCAAGCCGUGUACCGAAGCUGCGGAUGUGAUCUCUGAUCACGUGGUAGCGGAGCGUUCCGUAAGCCUGCGAAGGGUGUCCGUGAGGCCGCCUGGAGGUAUCGGAAGUGAGAAUGCUGACAUGAGUAGCGACAAACAGUGUGAGAAACACUGUCGCCGAAAGUCCAAGGGUUCCUGCGCAAGGUUAAUCCACGCAGGGUGAGCCGGCCCCUAAGGCGAGGCCGAAAGGCGUAGUCGAUGGGAACCACGUUAAUAUUCGUGGGCCAGCGGGUGUGUGACGAAUGGGAAAGCGUGUCGGGCCUUAUCGGAUUGGCCCGGCUGGGGACCCGUUCCAGGAAACAGCCCCCGCAUCAGACCGUACCCCAAACCGACACAGGUGGACUGGUAGAGUAUACCCAGGCGCUUGAGAGAAUGGUGUUGAAGGAACUCGGCAAAUUGCCCUCGUAACUUCGGAAGAAGAGGGCCCCGUCGCGGCGCAAGCCGGGGCGGGGGGCACAGACCAGGGGGUGGCGACUGUUUACUAAAAACACAGGGCUCUGCGAAGCCGUACAAGGCGACGUAUAGGGUCUGACGCCUGCCCGGUGCCGGAAGGUUAAGAGGAGGGGUUCACGCUCCGAAUUGAAGCCCCGGUAAACGGCGGCCGUAACUAUAACGGUCCUAAGGUAGCGAAAUUCCUUGUCGGGUAAGUUCCGACCUGCACGAAUGGCGUAACGACUUCCCCGCUGUCUCCAACACCAACUCAGCGAAAUUGAACUCUCCGUGAAGAUGCGGAGUACCCGCGGUCAGACGGAAAGACCCCGUGCACCUUUACUACAGCUUUGCAGUGGUGCUAGGGAUCUCAUGUGUAGGAUAGGUGGGAGGCUAGGAA
rnacentral:rRNA from 1 species